GAAAGGACAGCAACUCUUGACAGUGACCAAGAUGAAUGAGAGCCUUGGCGUUCCUAGCCAGUAGAAGGAAAGGACAGCAACUCUUGACAGUGACCAAGAAUGAAGGAGAGCCUUGGCGUUCCUAGCCAGUAGAAGGAAAGGACAGCAUCUCUUGACAGUGACCAAGAAUGAUGGAGAGGUGGGAUGUAUUUCUUUUGUAUUUUUGCUUUCUUUUGUGUUGUCCAUCUAGUUCUGAUUGUAUGUUUAAUGACCUGUAUCUAUUUUGGGGGCUAUUUUUCAGAAUCUUUCUUAAAUUGAUUUUCUACAAGGACUGAGAAGACCCAAGCGUAUAUCAUUAAAGGAAGUGAAAACUGAAA
rnacentral:lncRNA from 1 species